rnacentral:rRNA from 1 species
UACGUAGGGUCCGAGCGUUGUCCGGAAUUACUGGGCGUAAAGAGCUCGUAGGUGGUUUGUCGCGUUGUUCGUGAAAACUCACAGCUCAACUGUGGGCGUGCGGGCGAUACGGGCAGACUGGAGUACUGCAGGGGAGACUGGAAUUCCUGGUGCAGCGGUGGAAUGCGCAGAUAUCAGGAGGAACACCGGGUGGCGAAGGCGGGUCGUCUGGGCAGGUAACUGGACGGCUGAGGAGCGAAAAGCGUGGGGGAGCGAACAGGG